rnacentral:rRNA from 1 species
GGUUAAGCGACUAAGCGUACACGGUGGAUGCCCUGGCAGUCAGAGGCGAUGAAGGACGUGCUAAUCUGCGAAAAGCGUCGGUAAGGUGAUAUGAACCGUUAUAGCCGGCGAUGUCCGAAUGGGGAAACCCAGUGCAAUUCGUUGCACUAUCGUUUGAUGAAUACAUAGUCAAACGAGGCGAACCGGGGGAACUGAAACAUCUAAGUACCCCGAGGAAAAGAAAUCAACCGAGAUUCCCCCAGUAGCGGCGAGCGAACGGGGAGCAGCCCGGAGUCUGAAUCAGCUUGUGUGUUAGUGGAAGCGUCUGGAAAGUCGCAGGGUACAGGGUGAUACUCCCGUACACUAAAAUGCACAGGUUGUGAACUCGAAGAGUAGGGCGGGACACGUGGUAUCCUGUCUGAAUAUGGGGGGACCAUCCUCCAAGGCUAAAUACUCCUGACUGACCGAUAGUGAACCAGUACCGUGAGGGAAAGGCGAAAAGAACCCCGGCGAGGGGAGUGAAAAAGAACCUGAAACCGUGUACGUACAAGCAGUAGGAGCCCACUUGUUGGGUGACUGCGUACCUUUUGUAUAAUGGGUCAGCGACUUAUAUUCUGUAGCAAGGUUAACCGUAUAGGGGAGCCGCAGGGAAACCGAGUCUUAACUGGGCGUUAAGUUGCAGGGUAUAGACCCGAAACCCGGUGAUCUAGCCAUGGGCAGGUUGAAGGUUGGGUAACACUAACUGGAGGACCGAACCGACUAAUGUUGAAAAAUUAGCGGAUGACUUGUGGCUGGGGGUGAAAGGCCAAUCAAACCGGGAGAUAGCUGGUUCUCCCCGAAAGCUAUUUAGGUAGCGCCUCGUGAACUCAUCUUCGGGGGUAGAGCACUGUUUCGGCUAGGGGGUCAUCCCGACUUACCAACCCGAUGCAAACUACGAAUACCGAAGAAUGUUAUCACGGGAGACACACGGCGGGUGCUAACGUCCGUCGUGAAGAGGGAAACAACCCAGACCGCCAGCUAAGGUCCCAAAGUCAUGGUUAAGUGGGAAACGAUGUGGGAAGGCCCAGACAGCCAGGAUGUUGGCUUAGAAGCAGCCAUCAUUUAAAGAAAGCGUAAUAGCUCACUGGUCGAGUCGGCCUGCGCGGAAGAUGUAACGGGGCUAAACCAUGCACCGAAGCUGCGGCAGCGACGCUUAUGCGUUGUUGGGUAGGGGAGCGUUCUGUAAGCCGUUGAAGGUGGCCUGUGAGGGUUGCUGGAGGUAUCAGAAGUGCGAAUGCUGACAUAAGUAACGAUAAUGCGGGUGAAAAACCCGCACGCCGGAAGACCAAGGGUUCCUGUCCAACGUUAAUCGGGGCAGGGUGAGUCGACCCCUAAGGCGAGGCCGAAAGGCGUAGUCGAUGGGAAACAGGUUAAUAUUCCUGUACUCGGUGUUACUGCGAAGGGGGGACGGAGAAGGCUAUGUUGGCCGGGCGACGGUUGUCCCGGUUUAAGCAUGUAGGCGGAUGUUCCAGGUAAAUCCGGAACGUCACUAACGCUGAGGUGUGAUGACGAGGCACUACGGUGCUGAAGUGACAAAUGCCCUGCUUCCAGGAAAAGCCUCUAAGCAUCAGGUAACAUCAAAUCGUACCCCAAACCGACACAGGUGGUCAGGUAGAGAAUACCAAGGCGCUUGAGAGAACUCGGGUGAAGGAACUAGGCAAAAUGGUGCCGUAACUUCGGGAGAAGGCACGCUGAUGGUAAGUGAAGUGACUUGCUCAUGGAGCUGAAAUCAGUCGAAGAUACCAGCUGGCUGCAACUGUUUAUUAAAAACACAGCACUGUGCAAACACGAAAGUGGACGUAUACGGUGUGACGCCUGCCCGGUGCCGGAAGGUUAAUUGAUGGGGUUAUCCGUAAGGAGAAGCUCUUGAUCGAAGCCCCGGUAAACGGCGGCCGUAACUAUAACGGUCCUAAGGUAGCGAAAUUCCUUGUCGGGUAAGUUCCGACCUGCACGAAUGGCGUAAUGAUGGCCAGGCUGUCUCCACCCGAGACUCAGUGAAAUUGAACUCGCUGUGAAGAUGCAGUGUACCCGCGGCAAGACGGAAAGACCCCGUGAACCUUUACUAUAGCUUGACACUGAACACUGGUCCUUGAUGUGUAGGAUAGGUGGGAGGCUUUGAAGUGUGGACGCCAGUCUGCAUGGAGCCAUCCUUGAAAUACCACCCUUUAAUGGCUGGUGUUCUAACGUGGGCCCGUAAUCCGGGUUGCGGACAGUGUCUGGUGGGUAGUUUGACUGGGGCGGUCUCCUCCUAAAGAGUAACGGAGGAGCACGAAGGUCAGCUAAUCCUGGUCGGACAUCAGGAGGUUAGUGCAAUGGCAUAAGCUGGCUUGACUGCGAGCGUGACGGCGCGAGCAGGUGCGAAAGCAGGUCAUAGUGAUCCGGUGGUUCUGAAUGGAAGGGCCAUCGCUCAACGGAUAAAAGGUACUCCGGGGAUAACAGGCUGAUACCGCCCAAGAGUUCAUAUCGACGGCGGUGUUUGGCACCUCGAUGUCGGCUCAUCACAUCCUGGGGCUGAAGUAGGUCCCAAGGGUAUGGCUGUUCGCCAUUUAAAGUGGUACGCGAGCUGGGUUUAGAACGUCGUGAGACAGUUCGGUCCCUAUCUGCCGUGGGCGCUGGAGAAUUGAGGGGGGCUGCUCCUAGUACGAGAGGACCGGAGUGGACGCAUCACUGGUGUUCGGGUUGUCAUGCCAAUGGCAUUGCCCGGUAGCUAAAUGCGGAAGAGAUAAGUGCUGAAAGCAUCUAAGCACGAAACUUGCCCCGAGAUGAGUUCUCCCUGACUCCUUGAGAGUCCUGAAGGAACGUUGAAGACGACGACGUUGAUAGGCCGGGUGUGUAAGCGCAGCGAUGCGUUGAGCUAACCGGUACUAAUGAACCGUGAGGCUUAACCUU